UACGAAGGGGGCGAGCGUUGUUCGGAAUUAUUGGGCGUAAAGGGCUCGUAGGCGGUUUGUCACGUCGGGAGUGAAAACUCAGGGCUCAACCCUGAGCGUGCUUCCGAUACGGGCGGACUAGAGGUAUGCAGGGGAGAACGGAAUUCCUGGUGUAGCGGUGGAAUGCGCAGAUAUCAGGAGGAACACCGGUGGCGAAGGCGGUUCUCUGGCAUUACCUGACGCUGGAGGAGCGAAAGCAUGGGGAGCGAACAGG
rnacentral:rRNA from 1 species